CUGCUCGGGGGUCCGCCUACCAGACAGAGAGGCAGAGCGAGAGAGAGAGACCGAGAGAGAUAAAGAGACAGAGAGAGAGACAGAGAGAGAGAGAGAAGCUCUUACGCGCAGAGCGUCACCGUCGAUCUGACCGAAUCAGUUGCCCUUGACAACGAGCAGUAAGAUAGGAAGGAAGAAAGGAAGGAUGGGAGGUGAAGGAGAGCCGAGGUCCACAACCAGCAAGGACUAAAUGAAGGCAGUGGUGUGAGACAAAGACACACGGAGCUGACACUGAUGACGGUCACUGUCUGAGUCAAGACAUCCUUUAAAAGGAGCUGAUAACAACGCAACCGUCCGUGUAAGAAUCCAAAACACCCACGGUGAGGUCUUCACUUGAAAUAUGAGUUCAACGUUCCAUUUUCAGAUGUUUAGUUCAUUGUAUUAAAGAA